rnacentral:rRNA from 1 species
UGGGGAAUUUUGGACAAUGGGCGAAAGCCUGAUCCAGCAAUGCCGCGUGUGUGAAGAAGGCCUUCGGGUUGUAAAGCACUUUUGUCCGGAAAGAAAUCCUUGGCUCUAAUACAGUCGGGGGAUGACGGUACCGGAAGAAUAAGCACCGGCUAACUACGUGCCAGCAGCCGCGGUAAUACGUAGGGUGCAAGCGUUAAUCGGAAUUACUGGGCGUAAAGCGUGCGCAGGCGGUUUGCUAAGACCGAUGUGAAAUCCCCGGGCUCAACCUGGGAACUGCAUUGGUGACUGGCAGGCUAGAGUAUGGCAGAGGGGGGUAGAAUUCCACGUGUAGCAGUGAAAUGCGUAGAGAUGUGGAGGAAUACCGAUGGCGAAGGCAGCCCCCUGGGCCAAUACUGACGCUCAUGCACGAAAGCGUGGGGAGCAAACAGGAUUAGAUACCCUGGUAGUCUACGCCCUAAACGAUGUCAACUAGUUGUUGGGGAUUCAUUUCCUUAGUAACGUAGCUAACGCGUGAAGUUGACCGCCUGGGGAGUACGGUCGCAAGAUUAAAACUUAAAUGAAUUGACGGGGUCAUAGCUGUUUCCU